GCCCCAUCAUUCUGGGGACGCUGAGCUGGUGGGAUUGCACCAUGGCCUGGGCCCCUCUUCUCCUCGUGGUGCUCGCCCAUGGCACAGGUUCCCUGGUCCAGGCAGCGCUGACUCAGCCACCCGAGUUGUCGGCCAAGGUGGGAGACACGGUCCAAAUCACCUGCACCGGUAGCAGCUACAGCUAUGGCUGGUACCAGCAGAAGGUCCCUGGCAGUGCCCCUGUCACUGUGAUCUACAGCAAUAGCAAUAGACCCUCGGGCAUCCCUUCGCGAUUCUCCGGAUCCAAAUCCGGCUCCACGGGCACCUUAACCAUCACUGGGGUCCAAGCCGAGGACGAGGCUGUCUAUUUCUGUGGUAGCUAUGACAGCAGCACGGGCACAGAUGUAUUCGGGGCCGGGACGACGUUGACCGUGAAAGACCAGCCCACGGUCGCUCCCACCGUCCAUCUCUUCGCGCCGUCUGCCCAGGAGAUGGAGACAGGCAAAGCCACCCUGGUGUGUCUGAUGGAGAACUUCUACCCCAGCCGUGUGACAGUGGAAUGGGUGGCUGACGGCAACACCAUCACCUCUGGUGUGGAGACCAGCCAGCCCCAGCGGCAGAGCCCCAGCCACUACAUGGCCAGCAGUUACCUGUCGUUGGAUGCCAGCAAAUGGCAGAGUUACAAUUCUGUCUCGUGCAAGGUCAGGCACGAGGCUGGAAAUGUGGAGAAGACCGUGAACAGAUCCGAGUGCUUCUAACCCACCCCGCUGGCCCUUUGCUGGCUCCCUCCCUCCUCCCCACUCCUGGGAACAGCGGCUCCCCUGCCGCAGAUGUCUCUGUCCAUGUCUGCCUGUCCCCUGCUCCUGUCCCCCACUGUGAGUGUCACACAAAUAAACACCGACACUGAACUAGCGCUGG